UACAGAGGGGGCAAGCGUUAUUCGGAAUUAUUGGGCGUAAAGGGCGCGUAGGCGGCCGCGCAAGUCUCGGGUGAAAUCCCUCGGCUCAACCGAGGAACUGCCCUGGAAACUGCGCGGCUCGAGGCCGGGAGAGGAUGGUGGAAUUCCCAGGUGUAGCGGUGAAAUGCGUAGAUAUUGGGAGGAACACCGGUGGCGAAGGCGGCCAUCUGGACCGGUCCUGGACGCUGAGGCGCGAAAGCGUGGGGAGCAAACAGG
rnacentral:rRNA from 1 species